CCCUUUCAGUCAGGCGAUCAGUGGAGAAAGGAGAGGAACGGACCAAACAGCCCCAGGGAGGAAGCUCUUGGAAGGUUCUGAUACCGAAGCCCAGCAUCGAGGACUGCAGAGGAUAUCACGCGUCCGUGCGCUAGCGCAUGUUUUCCAGAGACCUUGGCCCCAGAAGUCAGCCUGGCUCCUUGUGCUGGUGUUCAAUAGAUGCUUUCCGCUUCCUUUCUUCUGCCUGGGACAAUGGAUGUGCUGGGAUGGAACUGCAGCAAGCCUGGAGCUCACAGCAGCAGCCAGGACCUGGACUGGCCUGGAGCCUCCAGGAAAGAGAUUCUCCACGUCUCCCCACAGCAGCUGCUGGCUGAAAGCUUCGUCCCAUUCCCCGGUACAUGUCCCUGUCCCACGAGCCUGAGGACCCCCCCUAUGUGCCCCAUUGUCAGGAAGUGCUGCUCUGUUUGGGGCUACCUUGGAGCUGCUGGCACAACAAAGCUGUUUUGCUUUUGGCUGGGCACUCGGCAUCCGAGCUCUCAUGUGGUUGGAGCCCAUUUUUUUUUGCAAGA